GACGAACGCUGGCGGCGUGCUUAACACAUGCCAGUCGAACGGAAAGGCCCUGCUUUUGUGGGGUGCUCGAGUGGCGAACGGGUGAGUAACACGUGAGUAACCUGCCCUUGACUUUGGGAUAACUUCAGGAAACUGGGGCUAAUAUCGGAUAGGAGCUCCUGCUGCAUGGUGGGGGUUGGAAAGUUUCGGCGGUUGGGGAUGGACUCGCGGCUUAUCAGCUUGUUGGUGGGGUAGUGGCUUACCAAGGCUUUGACGGGUAGCCGGCCUGAGAGGGUGACCGGCCACAUUGGGACUGAGAUACGGCCCAGACUCCUACGGGAGGCAGCAGUGGGGAAUAUUGCACAAUGGGCGGAAGCCUGAUGCAGCAACGCCGCGUGCGGGAUGACGGCCUUCGGGUUGUAAACCGCUUUCGCCUGUGACGAAGCGUGAGUGACGGUAAUGGGUAAAGAAGCACCGGCUAACUACGUG
rnacentral:rRNA from 1 species